AUUCCUGUCUUCCAUUGACUCGCUUGGAACGGACAUCCCAGAGCUCUGCUGCUUCAUGACUCAGUGCUGCAGAAGAUCAAGUGUGCUCAGCAUCAAAGCAGCACAAGCGGAGGAGGUGUUGGUCCCGUUUCACGGCUGGGAUGGAGGAAUGCUGCGGCUGCAGUUGGACCAGCUUCCAGAAGACCAGAGAAAAUGGAUAAGAGGCAGCAGAAGACAGAGGCAACAGCCGUACCAAAAAGCCGGUCUGGUGCCAGCGAAUCCGUUUUCGUGUGGCCGUCCAGCUCCGAGCUGUCUGAGAAAAAUGUGUCUGCUGUUGAGUCUUCUAAUCUCUCCAACACAGAUGUUGACCGCUUCUCCAUGACAACAGCGGUGCGGACCCUCGCUUGAACCGGGCUUAAUGCCCCCCACAGUGUUUUUUAUGGGAAUACCAUCUGACCCCAUGCACUCCUGCAGCUAAGCUUUGAAAUAAAUGCAGGUUUGUUUUCAAUAUUUAUUAUCCCACUACCAUUCUAGCCAGCGAGAGCAGCGCUUCAAACCACACUCAGUGGGGAAUGGUUUGCUGGCGCUCUGCUCAAGCUCUUCAGUCAAACAAACUGGCACUGCAGUCCUUUUCUUCUCCUCCUUCAAUUUAUUUAGAAUAGAAUUACAUCCCAGGUUCAUUAUUUUCAUUUGGAUGCCUUGCAAACAGUAUUUUAGAAGGAGGUUACACUAGUUUAUUAUUACACCAUUAUCCUUAUUGUAAAAAACAAACGUCUGCAGAGUGUUGAAACCAGAAGGAUGAAGAGCUCUCCUCCACUGUUAGGUUUUACGUCAGUCUAUCAGGUCAUGAGAGGCCGAGCUGCUAAUUGUUGAUCCUGAAAUAACAGCCAACAGUUCUACAUUUAAAGACGAAAAUAAUUUAAAUUUCAUCCAUGUUAUCUUAAAAUGAUUAAGAUUAACCAGAUUUUAAGAGAUCUUUUACUGAUAUAGCACUUCUUUUUAAAAAGAAAGCCAACUCAAAAGCCUUAGCCACCACUAAGGAUGUGCCCAUAUAUUUUUUUCCUUCCGAUACUUAUAACAUAUAUUUCCUCUGCAACUGUGCCCGACAGCCAAUAUUUGCCGAUACCAAUACUUAAGUGCCCAUACGGUGCAUGGGGAGGGGGGUUGACCCGCCAUGCACCCGCCUCUGGCUUGUCUCUACGCCUGCUCCUAAACUUGGCUGUGGACCCCGCCUCUGGCUCGUCUUGUAGCCUCAGCCUUCCCCAACCCCAUCUGGAUGGAGCCCAUCUGUUGCAAUAUUCAAACAUGUAGUUGUAGAGUUAGAUAAAAUAAUUCUUCUCCAAGAGUUCUGGUUCAUCGCCUGUACGUCCUGGGAGAGGAUCCCCCCUUCAUGUGGACAUUUGCUGAAGUUUCUUCUUUUUUUCCCUGGACUCAGACAUUUUUUGGGUUUUUUUUCCUUACCGAGAAGGAGGGUCUAAGGGCACCGUUUAGUUUAGUGUUUAGCUUAGCCAUUACCUAUUGAAUUCUAUGACUUCAUGUUCUUUAUGAUUUCACGUUUAUUAAACAACUACCCAUAU